UGCCAUAUGGUUCCUAAGGGUAAAAGGAAAAAAAAAUACGUUGAGGUCGGGCUGAGAUUAUCGACAGAAUAUGGGAACUAUGGCGAUGUCGGUCGUCAUCAAGAUGGCAUUGAUUGUGUCGGAGCGUGAUCGAAUCGAAAAUCCGUCUUGUGUUUUGGACUAGUGAAGAUGAAGAUCACGAGUGACGCAAAUGGAUUUCACCGCAACAGGAUGGGAGAUGGUCUGGCCACGCCGAUCACGGUCGACAUGGUUUGACAAAACGCGGCCAACACAAACAAUUGAACACAAAUAAUUGGACGAGAACACAGUCUAGACGCGUGGAAGGAAUUUGACGGAGACUCACUGACGUCGAUGAAAUCUCCUCGCGAUAGAAGCCGAAAUUCGUCGCGCGUGGUCGUCGAUCCCAGAAAUUGGUCGGGGGGUUUGGUCUAGGACGUCGUGGCAAUUCUCCUGGUGCGAUGUUCAGCCUGCGGGCCUCCGAUUCGCCGGAAUCGGCCGUAGGCGGUGCCGUGUGCGGGGGCGCCUGGUAGGGCAAAGGGGAGCGGCGCGGCCACCGGGAACGAGAGAAAGGAGGCGGCGGCGCGACGCUUUGUG
rnacentral:lncRNA from 1 species